rnacentral:tRNA from 1 species
GCGCCCGUAGUUCAAUGGAUAGAAUGAAGGAUUCCGGUUCCUUUGAUGGGGGUUCGACUCCCUCCGGGCGUACAA